CUGGCUCAGGACGAACGCUGGCGGCGUGCUUACACAUGCAAGUCGAGCGAAGAUUGCAUUUAUGUAAUCUUAGCGGCGGACGGGUGAGUAACGCGUAGGCAACCUGCCUUGCACAGAGGGAUAACACCGGGAAACUGGUGCUAAUACCACAUGAUAUCAUAACAAGGCAUCUUGAAAUGAUCAAAGGAGAAAUCCGGUGCAAGAUGGGCCUGCGUCCGAUUAGUUAGUUGGUGAGGUAACGGCUCACCAAGGCGACGAUCGGUAGCCGAACUGAGAGGUUGAUCGGCCACAUUGGGACUGAGACACGGCCCAGACUCCUACGGGAGGCAGCAGUGGGGAAUAUUGCGCAAUGGGGGGAACCCUGACGCAGCAACGCCGCGUGAAGGAAGAAGGCCUUCGGGUUGUAAACUUUUUUGAUUGGGGAAGAAAAAAAUGACGGUACCCAAGGAACAAGCCACGGCUAACUACGUGCCAGCAGCCGCGGUAAUACGUAGGUGGCGAGCGUUGUCCGGAAUUACUGGGUGUAAAGGGCGUGUAGGCGGGAUUGUAAGUCAGAUGUGAAAUUCCAGGGCUUAACUCUGGAGGUGCAUCUGAAACUAUAAUUCUUGAGUGCUGGAGAGGAAAGCGGAAUUCCUAGUGUAGCGGUGAAAUGCGUAGAUAUUAGGAAGAACACCAGUGGCGAAGGCGGCUUUCUGGACAGUAACUGACGCUGAGGCGCGAAAGCGUGGGGAGCAAACCAGGAUUAGAUACCCUGGUAGUCCACGCUGUAAACGAUGGAUACUAGGUGUAGGAGGUAUCGACCCCUUCUGUGCCGGAGUUAACACAAUAAGUAUCCCACCUGGGGAGUACGGCCGCAAGGGCUGAAACUCAAAGGAAUUGACGGGGGCCCGCACAAGCAGU
rnacentral:rRNA from 1 species